rnacentral:rRNA from 1 species
AUUGAACGCUGGCGGCAUGCUUUACACAUGCAAGUCGAACGGCAGCGGGGAGGGGCUUGCUUCUCUGCCGGCGAGUGGCGAACGGGUGAGUCAUACAUCGGAACGUGUCGAGAGGCGGGGGAAAACCACCCGAAAGGGUGCCUAAUACCGCAUAAAUUCUGAGGCAGAAAGCUGGGGAGCUAGGAAUAGGCCUAGCGCUUUUUGAGCGGACGAUGGCGGAUUAGCUAGUUGGUGAGGUAAAGGCUCACCAAGGCGAAGAUGUGUAGCGGGUCUGAGAGGAUGAUCCGCCACACUGGGACUGAGACACGGCCCAGACUCCUACGGGAGGCAGCAGUGGGGAAUUUUGGACAAUGGGGGCAACCCUGAUCCAGCCAUGCCGCGUGUAUGAAGAAGGCCUUAGGGUUGUAAAGUACUUUUGUUAGGGAAGAAAAGUCAGCUGUGAAUAAUGGCUGAUACUGACGGUACCUAAAGAAUAAGCACCGGCUAACUACGUG